GGGCCCGCACAAGCGGUGGAGCAUGUGGUUUAAUUCGAUGAUACGCGAGGAACCUUACCAGGGCUUAAAUGUAGUGGGACAGGUCUAGAGAUAGACCCUUCUUCGGACUCAUUACAAGGUGCUGCAUGGUUGUCGUCAGCUCGUGCCGUGAGGUGUCAGGUUAAGUCCUAUAACGAGCGCAACCCCUAUCGUUAGUUGCCAGCGGGUCAUGCCGGGAACUCUAGCGAAACUGCCGGUGCAAACCGUGAGGAAGGUGGGGAUGACGUCAAAUCAUCACGGCCCUUACGUCCUGGGCUACACACGUGCUACAAUGGCCGGUACAGAGAGCAGCCACUACGCGAGUAGGAGCGAAUCUAUAAAAACCGGUCUCAGUUCGGAUCGCAGUCUGCAACUCGACUGCGUGAAAGCUGGAAUCGCUAGUAAUCGC
rnacentral:rRNA from 1 species